UUGAAGUCUAAAGGGUUAAGGUUUGGGC
rnacentral:sRNA from 1 species